AUAACAAAUACAGGAAGGCGAAGGCGAAGCCGGCAUUGAAGAUAUUGGCAUUGAGAGUUGUUGUUGCCCUUUUCAUGCACUGCCUCUUCCCUGGCUUCCAUCACCCUUUCGCCUCCUCUUCUUUCUCUCCCCUCCAAAAUGCUAGCUGUGC
rnacentral:pre_miRNA from 1 species